GAAUAAUGCUGCUUUGAACAUCUGUGUAUAAGUUUUUGUGCGGACAUAUGUUUUCAUUUCUCUGAGGUAUAUAACUAGGAGUAGAAUUGCUGGGUCAUGUAGUAACUCUGUGUUUACUCAUUUGAGGAAUCUCUAAGGUUUUUUCCAAAGCAGCUGCACCAUUUUACAUUCCCACCAGCAGGACAUGAAGGUUUCAAUUCCUCUGCAUCCUCACCUACACUUGUUAUCAUCUGUCUAUUUUGAUUAUAGCCAUUCUGGUGGGUGUGAACUGGUUUCACAUUGUAGUCUUUAUUAACUUCUAAGUUGGACCACCUCAAACAUACUUUCCAAACCUAGUGACACCUAUCCAAUUAUCUUCAUGUGACACAACGACUGACAAAGAAAAAUGAGAGCCAGGAUUUGAGGAGGUAGACAUGAGACAGGUGGUGGAGAAAGGGAGGGAGUUUGGGGUAUUGCCAGAGACGCAGCUGGGACUUGAUGCCAAAAGGGUUGAAGGGCGUCCAACGACAUCCAGACUCCAGCAGAGAAUAGAGCUCAGAGGAGUGUCUGAGUGGAGUUGGUUACAAAUGUAUCUCCUUUCUGGGACUCUUCCAUUAUAAAGAAUACAGGGCUGUUGAAUAAGCAGAAUCACAUUUGGCAUUUAUGAUAUUAAGUGAAAAACAGUUAAAUAUAAACUGAAAUCUGUGCUCGGAUGAUGGCCAUAUAAACAUGUCUGUGUGUAGAUAAGCCCCAAAGAGAACAGGGAAAAUAAACAAUAUUUGUGUUAGGGAGCUGGAAUGCUGGGGUUUAAGACAAUGUUUAUUUCUUUAUCUUUUUUCCUUUACUGCUAUAUUACUGUUUGUGCAAUACCUAGACAUCAGGCAAAAAAAAAAAAAAAAAGAUUCACAUUAGCAGCCCCUCACUGCCUUAUCAGCCCUCUAAACCUCUUCACGCUUCAGCCACACUAAACCUCUCAUCGGUCUCAGACAUGUCUGAUCUUUACUGUGGCUCUGCACCUUGCAUAUGCCUUCCUCUAUCCCUGGAAUGCCCUUGGCCCCAGCGCAUCCUCUGCCAAAUUCUUCCUUGUUCUUUUUAGCCUAGCUCAAAUGUCGCCUUCUAGGAGGCCAUGUUCGUGGGGUCUCCCUGGAAGAAUGGGUCACCCUUUCCUCCAUCCUCCUGCUACUCAGAGCUUCGACUUCUGUUUCAGCCAGCAAGGGGCCUGACACGCGGUGGGUUAUUGUUGGAGAUGGCGCGUUGUUCCCUCCUUUGUAGCUCCUCCUCUCAAGAGGUGGAGUCUGUUUCUCCACUCCUCACUGGCCCUCCUGCCUCUAGACUCCACAUGUUCCCUCCAGUCCAUUCUCCGCAGUGGAGCCUGUGAUUUUUACCCCGUUCGAGUCUGAUCAUAUUCCUGCUCUUCAGUGGUUUCCAUUACCCUUGGAAAGAAGUCCAUGCCCUUUAAUGUGACAGUUGAGGCCUGGAUGGAGCUGGCCCUGCUGGUCUUUCCAGGCUCACCUCUCUUAGCAGCUUACACUUCUCCAGGGACGCCAUGCCAUCUACUGUUGCCUCUGCUUGGAGCAUAGCCCCCUCUCCGCGCUUUUGGCUAUCUUCUGCUCAACAUUCAGGUUUCAGCUAGACCUUACCUCCUCUGGGAAACCUUCCCUCACUGCACCCCCUAAGCCUGACUUAGUUAAUCCUCCUCCUGUGUAUGCCCGAAGCAUCCUGACAAUCUAACCUUUAUCACAGCGCUUUUCACUUUCUGCAACUGUCUCCAUUACUGGACUGUAGGCAACUGGAGGGGUCCCAGGGGGCUUGGCACAAAGUGGGGUUCAUUAAUAUUUGGGGAUUCACUGAAUAUCCCCUAGAAGCCCUGUAUUGUGAUUGUCUAUCAGCCCCAGCGAGCAUCUUGAGGGCUGAGGGAUAUAGCGUGUAUCUCCAUGUUCAGCACAGCACGUGGCCCAUGAGCUAUGUGCUACAUCGAAGAGCAAGAUGGUGACUAUUGCUGUAGUGAGAAGUUCUGGAGCUGGGCAGCAGACAGGAACAAGUGCGUACAGUUAAAUGUGUAGAAUGCACUCUAUUCUAACAGCAAGUGAACAGGAAGUGUAGAAACAAACUGAUGGGAGCCCAGGUCUCCUAAAGGAGCUAGCUGAUUGAAUGAGAUUCAUUGCAGAUUCAUUUCCCCCGCUAGUUAUUGUCAGAACAUUGUUAGGUCGGAUAUUUCAAAAGAGAGAAAAAAAGUCUUUGGUUUUCUCACCAAUUAGCCUUUGACAAUUCAACUCCCUAUAUUCGUGUGUAGUAGCAGUUCUUAACUGAAGGUUGUAAAAGUCCUAGGCUGUCUAGCCCAGUAAGUCCUGCCUGGAUGCGUCAGAAUCGGAACUCUGAUUUGAUAAAUCUGGUAUUGUGUAAGUCACAACUCAGGCUUAAAUCCUCAUAGCUGUUCUCCUUGAAAACCUCCAGGGACUGGGAACUCAUUAUCUACAAUGUAUCACAUUCUGCUUCUGGAGAGACAUUAGGAGAGCCUCCCUUAUAUUGAGCUGAAAUCUAUCUCCUUGAAACCCUCCACUUGGUGCUAGUUUUCUCCUAUAAAGUAUAGCUUUCUUUGCCUUUUUCCAUAUGCAAAUCCUUCAGCUCUAUAAAGGGCAUCCUGUCUGCCCCUCCUCCCGCUUUGCUAGGGCCUCCUCCUAGAUAAACCUCUCCUGUUCUCACAACUAUAUCUCACAGGAAACGAUCUCCAGGCCUAGCGAGUUUUGUUUGUAAUUUCAUUAAAGUGCUGAGCACCAUGGGGCCCGCCCUGUGGCCGAGUGGUCAAGUUCGCGUGUUCUGCUUCAGCAGCCCGGGGUCUCGCCGGUUCAGAUCCCGGGUGCGGACCUAGCACUGCUUAUUCAGGCCAUGUUGAGGCAGCGUCCCACAGAGCAGAGCCAAUAGGACUUACAACUAUGUACUGGGGGGCUUUGGGGAGAAGAAGAAAAAAAAACGUGCUGGGCACCACAGCAUGGACAGACCCAUCGGGAGAGGGAGGGAGGGUCUGUCCUUUCACCUUGCCAUUCUUUCUUUUUAUCUGGCCUGUGAGCACUUCUAAUUCACAGCCAACUUGUGUUGGCUUAGGGUGAAAUUAAGAUUACCAAAGCGCACAGGUCUUUCCACAUGAAAAUCAUUCCUUACCUGCUAUAAAUCUGAAGCCAAAGUAAUUGGCUUUUAUAAUCAACACCUGGCAUUUGUCCUUGUUAGAUGUUAUCUUUUGGUUCUAAACCAAUUCUUUCUACACAGGAAGCAGUAGGCCCAGAAGACGGAGCUCUCACAGCCCCUCUCCUGAGGAAUCGGGGCAGAGCUUGCUGCAGCAGAAGCCCUCAAGGAUGAUGUGCCAGAUGCACAUUCAGGUGCACCAGAGGUGUCAGGAGAGCAAAGAUGUCCAGUAUUGUGAGUCCUGUAGCUUUCUGAAGGCUGGGCAUGAAAGCAGCCUUCUCUGAAGCUCAGAUGGGCUAAACUGGGAAAGGGCUCAGGCCAGGGAGAUGUGGCUUACAGAGGAAUGGGGACAGCAUUGUGAGAUGAUCACUCCGGCUGCCUUGGCAGACAGCCUGGGUGCCUCUGCCCUUUCUGGGAAACAACAUAAAUGACCGUUGUACAUGAGGACUGCAGCCUAACCUUACCCAACCUUCAUCUCAUUGUUAUUCACUACAAGCCACAUUUUUACACAGAGGCCUAGUUAAGAAAAAUGCUAUUGGAUAAAGACGGUAUCUUUUGAACAGCUAUUCAGGGGUAAAGUAAGAAGAGCAUACUGAGGACAUGGAAUGUCCAAACGAGAGACAGUAGGACUUAGGACUCAUCCAGUCUCAUCCUCCACUGUCCCCACUUCCAGGAGCUGUAACUUCUACUACCUGGCAGGAGACUGCUGUCUUGGAGUGUGGGGCAGGGAACUAACCUUCCUGGUGAUGACGGGCAGGGCUCAGACACACCACCACCAUUCUGACUAAUCUCAGUGAGUAACAUGUCAGAGCUAAAGUGCCCUCAUUCUUUAGAGGGAGAAAAUGGAGUCCUGAGAGGGGAAAUACUUGCCCAGGGGUCCGCAGUGAGUCACACACUCAGCCCAGGGCUCUUCUGCCCCAAAACACUGCUGGACCAAAGCGAUCAAGAUAACUAACUCUGGAAUAGACUUUUGUACGCAGAGUGAAGUAGGGUUCCAAUGUUGCUUUAUUGCACAAAGUUAAACAGUUGCCCCAGCACCAUUUAUUGAUGAGUUGAUAAUUUCCCCACUGAUCUGCAGCACCACCUGUCAUUAACGUUUUCAUGCAUACAUACAUGGGUCUACUUGUGUAUCACAGUGGCGUGACCAUGCUGGCCUAACUGCCACUGCUUUAUAAAUACAUCAUGGUAUCCGGUAGAGGAAGUCUCCCACCUGUGUUCUAUCAUAUAGAUUUCAGAAUCAACUUAAGGUCUGUUUUAAAAAGUUCAGAUUUCAAUAAGAAUUUUAUAAAUACAUUUGUUGAAAAUGAUCUUUACAAUAUGCAGUCUUCCUAUCCAUCAAUAUAGUAUAGGUCUUCAUUAAUUUAGGCUUUCAUCAACACCUUUCAGCAAAGUUUAAUAAUUUCCCAUUAAAGUGCUGAACAUCUUUGAUAGACUUCAUUCCUAGUUACUUUGGGGGGUUUCUCGUUGCUAUUAUAAGUGGUACUUUUUCUUGAAUUGUAUUUUGCACAUUGCAGUGUACUGGAAUGCAUUUGAUUUCUGUAUAUUGAUCUUAAGUCCAGCACUUAUUAAUGCUUUUGGAUUUUCUGAGCGGAAAGUCAUAAUCUGUGAAAAAUGAGUUGUUUCUUUCUUUGCAAUCCUUUUGCCUUACUUUCUCUUCUUACCACAGCUGGAUGGGUCCUCCAGCACAGUAUCGAGGGUAUCCUCAGCUUGCCCUGAUCGUCAAUGGAAUACUGCAGACAUUUCAUUUGCUCUAGGUUUUCUGUUGAUGUCCUCUCUAAGGUUAGGGUAGUUUCUUUCUAUUCCUAGUUUGCUAAGAGUUUCUAUGGUUUGUUGUUUUUGUUGUUGAAUUUUACUGAA